GCAUGCAUUGGUAGGCAUGCAGGAAGUCAGAUAGAUAUAGGCACUGACUACGGGAGUGGAUGCACACAGAUGCAUUGAACAAGGAAGUUAGACAACUGGAAACACAAAAUGAAGGAACUAUUGUAGGUGUAGAGCCAAAUCUAGGUGAUAUGUAGAUAGAACCAGAUAGGAUGUCUUAGAGACAUGAGAAGGAGUUUCUCUUUCAUAAUAUGCAAUAGCAAUUGUUGCCAACAUUUGAGCAGGUUUACGGAUAAAUGGACAGGCAGAUUAUAGGAACUGAAGAUGUGGUCUACCUUUUUGUAUUAAUUAAAUUGCAUUACUUUUACUUUUAGUAAGAUUUAGUCAUUUGUGAAUGAAUAGGAAAAGCUGGAACUGAUGUGUUGCAUUAUGGUGUUGUGUAGGCAAAUGAUGUUGAUGAUCUCAUUGAUAUACAUAGACAAUAUAUUAACAAGGUGCAUGACAGAUGUCUGCUCAAUGAGAAGGCAUCAUAUGUGAAAUCAGCAAUUCGUAAAUGUCUGAAUCUUGCACUCAUUUUUACAUCUAACUUGGAGAGAGGAGUUCAGUUCACAAGAGUGGAGACUGCUGAUCGUAUCGAACGAGACUAUGAACAAUGUAAUAAGUUUCUUGUUAGCUUUCUUUUAAGCCUUGUACGACGAGGAUCAUACCCUCACUUGGAAUACCUUGUGGUGGCUCUUCAGUCAUAAGUUUCAAAGAAAGGAGAUGUGUGUUUGCGUUUAGAGAAAUUAUAAGACUUAGACAGGAUGAGUUUUUCAAUUGUGUGUAGCUUUGAGCAAAUGACUCAUUUAGAAUAGAAUGCAAGACUGAAAAUCAGCAUCAUCAUUUAUGUUAGUUUUCCAAGCUCCAUCUUCUGUUGAAGAGAACGCACCGAAUGAUA